rnacentral:rRNA from 1 species
UGCAUGGUUGUCGUCAGCUCGUGUCGUGAGAUGUUGGGUUAAGUCCCGCAACGAGCGCAACCCUUAAGCUUAGUUGCCAUCAUUAAGUUGGGCACUCUAAGUUGACUGCCGGUGACAAACCGGAGGAAGGUGGGGAUGACGUCAAAUCAUCAUGCCCCUUAUGAUUUGGGCUACACACGUGCUACAAUGGACAAUACAAAGGGCAGCGAAACCGCGAGGUCAAGCAAAUCCCAUAAAGUUGUUCUCAGUUCGGAUUGUAGUCUGCAACUCGACUACAUGAAGCUGGAAUCGCUAGUAAUCGUAGAUCAGCAUGCUACGGUGAAUACGUUCCCGGGUCUUGUACACACCGCCCGUCACACCACGAGAGUUUGUAACACCCGAAGCCGGUGGAGUAACCUUU